rnacentral:rRNA from 1 species
UACGUAGGUGGCGAGCGUUAUCCGGAUUUAUUGGGCGUAAAGCGUGCGCAGGCGGUUUAUUAAGUCUAAAAUUAAAGCCCGAAGCUUAACUUCGGUUCGUUUUAGAAACUAGUAGACUUGAGUAUGGUAGAGGCAAAUGGAAUUUCUAGUGUAGCGGUAGAAUGCGUAGAUAUUAGAAGGAACAUCAGUGGCGAAGGCGAUUUGCUGGGCCAUUACUGACGCUCAUGCACGAAAGCGUGGGGAGCAAAUAGGAUUAGAUACCCUAGUAGUCCACGCCGUAAACGAUGAUCACUAAGUGUCGGGAAACCGGUGCUGAAGUUAACACAUUAAGUGAUCCGCCUGAGUAGUACGGUCGCAAGGCUGAA